CCUACGGGAGGCAGCAGUGAGGAAUAUUGGUCAAUGGGCGUAAGCCUGAACCAGCCAAGUCGCGUGAGGGAUGAAGGUUCUAUGGAUCGUAAAUCUCUUUUAUAAGGGAAUAAAGUGUGGGAUGUGUCCUAUUUCGCAUGUACCUUAUGAACAAGGAUCGGCUAACUCCGCGCCAGCAGCCGCGGUAAUACGGAGGGUCCGAGCGUUACCCGGAUUUAUUGGGUUUAAAGGGUGCGUAGGCGGGCUUUUAAGUCAGCGGUGAAAGUCUUGGGCUCAACCAUAGAAUUGCCGUUGAUACUGGGGGGCUUGAGUAUGUUUGAGGGAGGCAGAAUGCGGGGUGUAGCGGUGAAAUGCUUAGAUAUCACGCAGAACCCCGAUUGCGAAGGCAGCCUGC
rnacentral:rRNA from 1 species